rnacentral:rRNA from 1 species
GACGAACGCUGGCGGCGUGCUUAACACAUGCAAGUCGAGCGGAAAGGCCCUUUCGGGGGUACUCGAGCGGCGAACGGGCGAGUAACACGUGAGUAAUCUGCCCUUCACUCUGGGAUAGCCACCGGAAACGGUGAUUAAUACCGGAUAUGACACGUGACCGCAUGGUCUGUGUGUGGAAACUUUUUGGGUGGGGGAUGUGCUCGCGGCCUAUCAGCUUGUUGGUGGGGUAAUGGCCUACCAAGGCUUCGACGGGUAGCCGGCCUGAGAGGGUGACCGGCCACACUGGGACUGAGACACGGCCCAGACUCCUACGGGAGGCAGCAGUGGGGAAUAUUGGACAAUGGGCGGAAGCCUGAUCCAGCAACGCCGCGUGAGGGAUGACGGCCUUCGGGUUGUAAACCUCCUUCAGCACCGACGAAGCGACCUUUGGGAGUGACGGUAGGUGCAGAAGAAGGACCGGCCAACUACGUGCCAGCAGCCGCAGUAACAC